rnacentral:rRNA from 1 species
GACGAACGCUGGCGGCGUGCCUAAUACAUGCAAGUCGAACGCAUUUUCUUUCACCGUAGCUUGCUACACCGAAAGAAAAUGAGUGGCGAACGGGUGAGUAACACGUGGGUAACCUGCCCAUCAGCGGGGGAUAACACUUGGAAACAGGUGCUAAUACCGCAUAAUUCCAUUUACCGCAUGGUAGAUGGAUGAGAGGCGCUUUUGCGUCACUGAUGGAUGGACCCGCGGUGCAUUAGCUAGGUGGUGGGGUAACGGCCUACCAAGGCUGCGAUGCAUAGCCGACCUGAGAGGGUGAUCGGCCACACUGGGACUGAGACACGGCCCAGACUCCUACGGGAGGCAGCAGUAGGGAAUCUUCGGCGAUGGACGCAAGUCUGACCGAGCAACGCCGCGUGAGUGAAGAAGGUUUUCGGAUCGUAAAACUCUGUUGUUAGAGAAGAACAAGGAUGAGAGUGGAAAGUUCAUCCCUUGACGGUAUCUAACCAGAAAGCCACGGCUAACUACGUGCCAGCCGCCGCCGUAAGAC